rnacentral:rRNA from 1 species
GACGUGGCGGACGUCUACAAUGCAUCGAGCGCCCAGCAAUGGAGAGCGGCAGACGGGUGAGUAACGCGUGGGGAUCUGCCCAAUGGUACGGAAUAACCCAGGGAAACUUGGAUUAAUACCGUAUGUGCCCUUCGGGGGAAAGAUUUAUCGCCAUUGGAUGAACCCGCGUCGGAUUAGCUAUUUGGUGUGGUAAAGGCGCACCAAGGCGACGAUCCGUAGCUGGUCUGAGAGGAUGAUCAGCCACACUGGGACUGAGACACGGCCCAGACUCCUACGGGAGGCACCAGUGGGGAAUAUUGGACAAUGGGCGCAAGCCUGAUCCAGCCAUGCCGCGUGUGUGAUGAAGGCCUUAGGGUUGUAAAGCACUUUCGCCGGUGAAGAUAAUGACGGUAACCGGAGAAGAAGCCCCGGCUAACUUCGUGCCAGCAGCCGCGGUAAUACGAAGGGGGCAAGCGUUGCUCGGAAUCACUGGGCGUAAAGCGUACGUAGGCGGGUCGUUAAGUCAGAGGUGAAAUCCUGGAGCUCAACUCCAUAACUGCCUUUGAUACUGGCGACCUUGAGUUCGAGAGAGGUUGGUGGAACUGCGAGUGUACAGGUGAAAUUCUUAGAUAUUCGCAAGAACACCAGUGGCGAAGGCGGCCAACUGGCUCGAUACUGACGCUGAGGUACGAAAGCGUGGAGGAGCAAACAGGAUUAGAUACCCCUGGUAUUCCACGCCGUAGACGAUGGAUGCUAGCCGUUAGGCAGCUUGCUGCUUAUUGACGCAGCUAACGCAUUAAGCAUCCCGCCUGAGGGAGUACGGGUCGCUAGAUUUAAUAACUCAAUGAAUUUGACGGGGGAUCCGCACAAGCGGCUGGGAGCAUGGUGGGAUUUAAAUAUUCGUAAAGCAAUCGGCAGCAAGU